GGCCUCGUAGCUCAGGGGAUAGAGCACAAGUUUCCUAAACUUGGUGUCGUUGGUUCGAAUCCAAUCGGGGUCA
rnacentral:tRNA from 1 species